rnacentral:misc_RNA from 1 species
GAAGAAACCUCUAAGUGAUCAAAGGAUCACUGAUUUCUUCGCAUCUAAUUCUUUCGAAAUGCCGCCUAAGGUAGAGAAGCUUCCAAUUAAUGUCGUCGAACUCGACAGUAGCGACGACGAGGGCACCGGCGUUCCCGUCGUCGGGAUGACAAAACCAGAAAUUAAUCACGGUGGUAACUCACUGAGUAAAUCACCGGUAAUAGAAAAUCCCAACGCCGUUGUUCCACCGGAUUCUAAUUACAGGCCACUGGAUUCUCGAAGUUUCUGGAGAGCUGGCAAUUUUGAAGUUGGUCGUAUCAAAUCAUCUGCUAUACACGGUGAAUUGGAACAUGCUCGUGUUCAUCCCAAAUUUCUGCAUUCCAAUGCUACUUCUCAUAAAUGGGCGUUUGGAGCAAUAGCUGAGCUUUUGGACAAUGCUGUUGAUGAGGUAAGUAGUGGCGCAACAUUCGUGAAAAUUGACAGAAUCUCUAACCCAAGGGACAACUCUCCUGCAUUGCUCUUCCAGGACGAUGGGGGUGGUAUGGAUCCAGACCGCCUUCGCAAAUGCAUGAGCCUGGGUUAUUCUUCAAAAACAUCAAACUCAACAAUUGGACAAUAUGGUAAUGG